CCAAGCUGUCUGCUCUAGCUGAGAAUGGAGGAAUGGUCUAGUGCCCCCCAGCUUCUGGCCAGGGCUACUGCAGGCAUGUGGCUGUAUUUCUGGAAUCAAAGCUAAAUGUCUGUUCACUUGUUUAUUAGUUCAAUCUACAUAGCUUAGAUUAACCUGCAAAGACUGAAUCAAUUCAACCUUGGGCUUUUUUACUGUCUGUAUUUAGCUGAGGUGAGAAAUUGGGUUGUAAAGUCAGUCCUAUGAGUAUUUCCCUCCCUUCCCUGCUAACAUUGUGGUGUCUUCUUCCUUAGGGUAGUCACUUGGUCACAGUCCUUUUUACUGUCUUGAGUACAAGGACUCCAUGUCUGACUGGCCUUCAUACAGACUACCACAGGAAGAACAGUGAAGUUCCAAUUAUGUGUGAGAUUCUUCAUUUGCAGAAGCCUGAGAAAAUAAAGGAACUUUGCAGAGUGCUACGAAAGUUAGCACGUUUGGAUUGGGACCAAGUAGUUUGUGGAGGGGAUAUAUGAGUUCCAUUAUUGAAGACCUUUAAUGGAGCAACUCUUGCCACCAACCCUCUCUGUUUUAGAGUGGAAAAUGGAUAGCCUGAGCAUUUCCGCAGAUCACAGCUGCAGCAGUAUUGCAAAGUAAGAGAGGAUCCAACAAAAUUUGACGUCUGAAAUUUCUACCCCUACCUGACCUGAGGCCACAUCAGGAGACUGAACCUCUGUCCAUAUAACUAAUCCAGGCUAAAUUUAUUUUCUACUAUUUUAUAAUUGUGGCAAAGGUUUAUACUUAUUUUAGCAAGAUGUGAAAGACACAUUAAAAAAGUUAUAGGAUAAAAGUCUGACUGUGCUAUAAGCAAUGGCAAACUCCCACUGACUUCAUCACAGCCAGGAUUUCACCUAUAGGGUUCAUUGUGUGUGGGAAUGGAUAUUUUACAUUGAACAAAAUGGUGAAAACAGAAUUCCUCAGUAUUCAUUAUAUCUCAUGUGAAUGUAAUAAAACUAUCUUAUCCCAAGGUAAGUUAUGUAAGCCACGGAUGGAUUUUGAGAGCUUGUUUCCUGGUAGAGGUGCUGAUCCAACUCCUAAAAAACCAAAUGGAAAUUCCUCCACUUAACUGUAUCACGCCUGGAGUAUUUAUCUAUAUUUCUAAAACAAUCAAACUUACCAGGUGCUCUGAGCCCUGAUUAUGUCUGAGCUAAGCUUUGGAGCACAGGUUAGUUUAGUUUGCCCACACAAGCUCAACCCCACUAUAAUGAAUGUUUGUUUUACACCCACAUCAUUAUCUUCCUCUUCAAUUUUUCCCAAGAUAGGCAGGUGAUAACUAAAUUUCUUCCAACCCAUAAUCCCUUAUUACUGAGGAAUGAUUAUAGUCUUUCUCUUCUAAUGUUACAUGUAAUACAUGUUCUUUUGGAAUAGUACAAACAUUUUCAAAAAUAUAUUUCACAUAAUUGAAAAUAAUUUUGAUGUAAAUCUUCAAAACAAUUUAGUUUUGAUUUGCUGUGACAUGAACCAUUUUCAGUGUGAAUCAAAUUAAAUCAAAAUUGAAAUGUUUAA